ACGAGCACAACAAGAAACAGAAUGUGCUUUUGGAGUUUGCGCGUGUUGUGAAGGCGAGGGAGCAAGUUGUCGCUGGAACUCUGCAUCACUUGACGGUGGAGGCAGUUGAGGGAGGGGAGAAGAAGAUCGAUGGAAUCGCUAUUUUGGUGCCGUUAUUUUGGUGUUCAUUAUUGUGCCGUUAUUUUGGACACGAAUCGGGUCUCCGAGGUUGGAAGACCUCCGCCGCAAGGAAGGGAGCGAACUGCCGAAGCCC